CCUACGGGGGGCAGCAGUGAGGAAUAUUGGUCAAUGGGCGGGAGCCUGAACCAGCCAAGCCGCGUGAGGGAAGAAGGUACAGCGUAUCGUAAACCUCUUUUGUCAGGGAACAAAGGCGGGGACUAGUCCCCGGAUGAGGGUACCUGAAGAAAAAGCAUCGGCUAACUCCGUGCCAGCAGCCGCGGUAAUACGGAGGAUGCGAGCGUUAUCCGGAUUUAUUGGGUUUAAAGGGUGCGCAGGCGGCCUGUUAAGUCAGCGGUAAAAGCCCAAGGCUCAACCAUGGGACUGCUUUUGAAACUGACAAACUAGAGUACGGGAGAGGUAAGAGGAAUUCCUAGUGUAGCGGUGAAAUGCGUAGAUAUUAGGAGGAACACCAGUGGCGAAGGCGUCUUACUGGACCGAAACUGACGUUGAGGCUCGAAAGCGUGGGGAGCAAACAGGAUUAGAUACCCUAGUAGUC
rnacentral:rRNA from 1 species